AGUGAACGCUGGCGGUAGGCCUAACACAUGCAAGUCGAACGGCAGCACAGUAAGAGCUUGCUCUUACGGGUGGCGAGUGGCGGACGGGUGAGGAAUACAUCGGAAUCUACUUUUUCGUGGGGGAUAACGUAGGGAAACUUACGCUAAUACCGCAUACGACCUACGGGUGAAAGCAGGGGAUCUUCGGACCUUGCGCGAUUGAAUGAGCCGAUGUCGGAUUAGCUAGUUGGCGGGGUAAAGGCCCACCAAGGCGACGAUCCGUAGCUGGUCUGAGAGGAUGGUCAGCCACACUGGAACUGAGACACGGUCCAGACUCCUACGGGAGGCAGCAGUGGGGAAUAUUGGACAAUGGGCGCAAGCCUGAUCCAGCCAUACCGCGUGGGUGAAGAAGGCCUUCGGGUUGUAAAGACCUUUUGUUGGGGAAGAAAAGCAGCAGGUUAAUACCCCGCUGUUCUGACGGUACCCAAAGAAUAAGCACCGGCUAACUUCGUG
rnacentral:rRNA from 1 species